GGAAAAUAUUUGUAUUCUGAUCAUUCUGUCCUGGCUCACUAGUUUAGGGCACACAUAUUGAUGGUGUCAUGUGCACACAGAUUGUUGCAUUGCCUCCUGGAAGUUGUAGUUUGGUUUGGUGGUUUCUGAUGGAUUUGAAGAGGAAUGUACAGAGUGGUCCAUAGUCACAGACAAAGCAGAAAUACAAAUGUGCACGAAAUUCAGAAAAAAGAAAGGCAAACGAAGUAAGCUGAAGCUGCAGAAAACAGAAAGGGGAAUCCUGUGGGAUCCUAAUGUACUUUGCUAACAGGAUUCAAGGAUACUCAUUCAGCCAUGCAGCAACCACCACACUCUGCAGAGGAGGAAAUAAAGGGCUUUCUGCGACCAACUCAAAAGCUGCCUUUAGGGUGUAGAGGAAAGGAGGCAAUUCUACGCCUUUCUGCUUCUUCUGAACUGGAAAUGUGGAACCCGAAGCCCUCUACAUACUGUUGAACUUCAUUUCCCAUCAGCCCCGGCAAGGACAGCCAAUGGACAGGGAUCAUGGGAGUUGGAGUUCAGCAACCUCUGGGGGCAGAAGCGCCAACUUGCGCAGAAGAGUGGGAUGCUAAUGACAUGUGCAUGACACCAGGAUACCGGGAGGAGCCAAAUGUGGCAGUAGCAUGACUUCAAUGGCUGGCAGCUCCUCUCUGGGGCUUAGCCUCAUCCCACUUUAUAAAUACAUCUGGAGAUGUCAGUUACAGUAAUUUUGACAUUAUCGCCCUAUACAGACAAAUGGGCCCUACAAAAAUACAUCAAGUUUCAGAGGGAGACUUAAAAUUUACAGCAUGCUGCGCGCCGAAGUAAAAUUAUAUGAAAAUGAUGUAUCGUUGAGAUUUAACACCUACAUAAUUAGCAAAAAUGUAUAGAACUGCUUCAAAAGUGUGUUGGAAGUGUAAGGAGAAGGAAGGCACUUUCUACCAUAUGUGGUGGAUGUGCAAAAUAAAAAAAGCAUUCUGGGAAAUGAUAUAUAAUGAGUUGAAAAAAAUGUUUAAAAUAACAUUUGUGAAAAAACUGGAAGGUUUUCUACUAAGAAUUCUGGAUGCAGAAAAACCAAAGGAGCAGAAAAUAUUAUUCAUGUAUGCGACGACAGCAGCCUGGAUACUAGUGCCCCAGAGAUGGAAAUAAGAUAAACUCCCAACCAGAGAUGAAUUCCUCUCUCAUUACAUAUGCUAAUCAUCUGCAUACUAUCCCUUGCUUUUUCCUGUAGGACUAAUUGCAGUCGUUAACAGUCGUCAACAGGUUUACCAUACACAUUGAGUCAAUCGCCCAUCUCCUACUACCCUCCUGAGAAAAACCCCACCCCACCCUCCCACUAUAUAUAAGGGUCUGGUGACUUCUGUUUCAGUGUAUCUGAAGAAGUGUGCAUGCACACAAAAGCUUAUACCCAGAACAAACUUAGUUGGUCCCUAAGGUGCUACUGGACAAUUUUUUAAAAUAUAUUUUGGUUGAUAAAGAUGAUGGACUACGUUGAAAUGGCGAAAAUGACCGGAAAAAUCAGAAACCAAGAAGGUAGAAACUUCCAUAAGGAAUGGGGGGCGGGGAAUUAUAAGUUAUUUAAGAGAAGACUGUAAACAACUAAAAACUUUGGCAGGAUUAUAGUAACACUUGUAAUUAUUAAAAACUAAGGUAAAUAUGAUUUUUUUUUUUAGAAAAAUAGAGAAAUUAUAUGAUGCAGUAUAAAAAGAUUGACAAUGGAACCAAUGGAGGGGUGGAGGGAAGUCUAAGGAUUCGGGCAUCCUAUAUGUUUAUGUUUAUGAUUGUUGUUUGAAUUCAAAUGUAUAUUGUAAAACUGAAUAAAAAAAAUAUAAUAAAAAAACAUUUUGGAGGGAGGAGUAGA